rnacentral:rRNA from 1 species
GUGUCAGCCGCCGCGGUAAUACCAGCUCUCCGAGUUGUGGGGACGUUUAUUGAGCCUGAAGCAUCCGUAGCCGGCUGGGCUAGUCCUCUGUUAAAUCCAGCGAUAAAUCGUUGGCCUGCGGGGGAUACUGCUCGGCUAGGGGGCGGGAGAGGUCGUCGGUAUUCUUGGGGUAGGGGUGAAAUCCUAUAAUCCCAGGAGGACCACCAGUGGCGAAGGCUGUCGGCUAGAACGCGCUCGACGGUGAGGGAUGAAAGCUGGGGGAGCGAACCGGAUUAGAUACCCGGGUAGUCCCAGCUGUAAACGAUGCAGGCUAGGUGUUAGGGCGGCUACGUGCCGCUCUAGUGCCGCAGGGAAGCUGUUAAGCCUGCCGCUUGGGGAGUACGGUCGCAAGGCUGAAACUUAAAUGAAUUGACGGGG